rnacentral:rRNA from 1 species
UACGUAGGGGGCGAGCGUUGUCCGGAUUCAUUGGGCGUAAAGCGCGCGUAGGCGGCUUCGUAAGUCGGCCGUGAAAUCUCCAGGCUUAACUUGGAGGGGUCGGGCGAGACUGCGGAGCUCGAGGUGGGCAGAGGGCAGUGGAAUUCCGGGUGUAGUGGUGGAAUGCGUAGAGAUCCGGAGGAACACCAGUGGCGAAGGCGGCUGCCUGGGCCUGGCCUGACGCUGAGGCGCGAAAGCGUGGGGAGCAAACAGG